rnacentral:rRNA from 1 species
GGAUGAACGCUGGCGGCAGGCUUAACACAUGCAAGUCGAGCGGUAACAGAGAGUAGCUUGCUACUUUGCUGACGAGCGGCGCACGGGUGAGUAACGCGUAUACAAUCUACCUUAUACUAGGGGAUAGCCUUUAGAAAUGAAGAUUAAUACCCUAUAGUCUAUUAAUAUAGCAUUAUAUAAAUAGUAAAGCUUCGGUGGUAUAAGAUGAGUAUGCGUCCUAUUAGUUAGUUGGUAAGGUAACGGCUUACCAAGACAGCGAUAGGUAGGGGCCCUGAGAGGGGGAUCCCCCACACUGGUACUGAGACACGGACCAGACUCCUACGGGAGGCAGCAGUGAGGAAUAUUGGACAAUGGAGGCAACUCUGAUCCAGCCAUGCCGCGUGCAGGAAGACGGCCCUAUGGGUUGUAAACUGCUUUUAUAUAGGAAGAAACAUUUCCACGUGUGGAAAUUUGACGGUACUAUAAGAAUAAGGACCGGCUAACUCCGUGCCAGCAGCCGCGGUAAUACGGAGGGUCCGAGCGUUAUCCGGAAUCAUUGGGUUUAAAGGGUCCGUAGGCGGGAAUCUAAGUCAGUGGUGAAAUUUUACAGUUGAGCUGUAAAAUUGCCAUUGAUACUGGAAUUUUUUGAAAGAGUGUGAAGUGAUUAGAAUGUGUAGUGUAGCGGUGAAAUGCAUAGAUAUUACACAGAAUACCAAUUGCGAAGGCAGAUCACUAACACUAUAUUGACGCUGAGGGACGAAAGCGUGGGGAGCGAACAGGAUUAGAUACCCUGGUAGUCCACGCCGUAAACGAUGGAUACUAGCUGUUGGAGAGCAAUCUUCAGUGGCUAAGCGAAAGUGAUAAGUAUCCCACCUGGGGAGUACGUUCGCAAGAAUGAAACUCAAAGGAAUUGACGGGGGCCCGCACAAGCGGUGGAGCAUGUGGUUUAAUUCGAUGAUAUGCGAGGAACCUUACCAGGGCUUAAAUGUAGUCUGACAGCUUUAGAGAUAGAGGUUUCUUCGGACAGAUUACAAGGUGCUGCAUGGUUGUCGUCAGCUCGUGCCGUGAGGUGUCAGGUUAAGUCCUAUAACGAGCGCAACCCCUGUCGUUAGUUGCCAGCAAGUAAAGUUGGGGACUCUAACGAGACUGCCUACGCAAGUAGAGAGGAAGGUGGGGAUGACGUCAAAUCAUCACGGCCCUUACGUCCUGGGCCACACACGUGCUACAAUGGUAUGGACAAUGAGCAGCCAUCUGGCAACAGAGAGCGAAUCUAUAAACCAUAUCACAGUUCGGAUCGGAGUCUGCAACUCGACUCCGUGAAGCUGGAAUCGCUAGUAAUCGGAUAUCAGAAUGCCGCGGUGAAUGCGUUCCCGGGUCUUGUACUCACCGCC